GAAAUGCGAUACGUAAUGCGAAUUGCAGAAUUCAGUGAAUCAUCGAAUCUUUGAACGCAAGUUGCGCUUUCGAGAGCCCUCGGAAGCAUGCCUCUCUGAGUAUCGGUUUCCAUCUCACACCGUACACUUGAUUGUGUAUGGGGCGUGGACAAUGGGAGUCGCUUCGUGCGUCUCCUGAAAUCAUGCGUCGACCCAUGACAAGUCCAUCGGAUUCUUGGAACAUAAUCCGCCAUGGCACCCGGGAAACAACCGCCCCAAGAUCUCAGAUGAGGUAAGACUACCCGCCGAAUUUAA
rnacentral:misc_RNA from 1 species